rnacentral:tRNA from 1 species
GCGAGAGUGGCGGAAUUGGUAGACGCACUGGACUUAGGAUCCAGCUCUGGUAACAGAGUGGGAGUUCAACUCUCCCCUUUCGCACCA